rnacentral:rRNA from 1 species
CGGGAUACAGCAGUAAUUAAAAUUAAGCAAUAAACGAAAGUUUGACUAAGUUAUGCAACAUUAUAUAGGGUUGGUAAAUUUCGUGCCAGCCACCGCGGUCAUACGAUUAACCCUAAUUAAUAAAACCCGGCGUAAAGAGUGUUAAAAUUACAAAAACAAUAAGAUUAAAUUUUACCUAAGUCGUAAAAAACAACAGAUAAAAAUAAAAUCAUAAACGAAAGUAAUCUUAAUAAAUCUGAAUACACUAAAGCUAAGACCCAAACUGGGAUUAGAUACCCCACUAUGCUUAGCCAUAAACAAAGAUAUUUAAUAACAAAAAUUUUCGCCAGAGUACUACUAGCAACAGCUUAAAACUCAAAGGACUUGGCGGUGCUUUAAACCCACCUAGAGGAGCCUGUUCUAUAAUCGAUAAACCCCGAUAUACCUUACCACUUCUUGCUAAUCCAGUCUAUAUACCGCCAUCUCCAGCAAACCCCAACAGGGAUUAAAAGUAAGCACAACUAUACUCGUAAAAACGUUAGGUCAAGGUGUAACUAAUGAAGUGGAAAGCAAUGGGCUACAUUUUCUUCUUCCAAGAAAACAACAACAGUAAUCUUUAUGAAAUUAAAGAUUUAAGGAGGAUUUAGUAGUAAAUUAAGAAUAGAGAGCUUAA